rnacentral:rRNA from 1 species
AGUGAACGCUGGCGGUAGGCCUAACACAUGCAAGUCGAACGGCAGCACAGUAAGAGCUUGCUCUUACGGGUGGCGAGUGGCGGACGGGUGAGGAAUACAUCGGAAUCUACUUUUUCGUGGGGGAUAACGUAGGGAAACUUACGCUAAUACCGCAUACGACCUACGGGUGAAAGCAGGGGAUCUUCGGACCUUGCGCGAUUGAAUGAGCCGAUGUCGGAUUAGCUAGUUGGCGGGGUAAAGGCCCACCAAGGCGACGAUCCGUAGCUGGUCUGAGAGGAUGAUCAGCCACACUGGAACGGAGACACGGUCCAGAGUCCUACGGGAGGCAGCAGUGGGGAAUAUUGGACAAUGGGCGCUAGCCUGAUCCAGCCAUACCGCGUGGGUGAAGAAGGCCUUCGGGUUGUAAAGCCCUUUUGUUGGGAAAGAAAAGCAGCAGGUUAAUACCCCGCUGUUCUGACGGUACCCAAAGAAUAAGCACCGGCUAACUUCGUG